UCUCCCCACUCUCUCCAGGCAGCAGCCUCCUGGGGAUCUUAAUUCAUCCUCCACUUGCCCAUCUGCGCUCGUGCUGCUGCUGCCUCCUCCUCUCCCAUCCUUCAGGGUCCUCCUCCAGGGCUGAGGCGGCGGCUGCUGCUCGGCCAGGCACGCGGCCACACACCAGCCCCCAGCUGCCCGGGCUGGGUUUGUCUGCGCCUCCCUCUCUGCUCCUCUUCUACCUGUCAGCUGCAGCCGCCGGUGACACCUGCGGGAGACGCGCUUUCGCAGCCCUUGCGACUCGUGUGGCCCGGGCGCAGGGGGGUGAUGAGCGCAUGAAAGAGACCCCGGGGGGCUUUCCCCAGCUCGGGACUCAGCGGCUGCUGGAGCAGAGGAUGCUGAGCUCAGGAGAGCACCGGCUGCCGGUUCCCCAUGGUCACGAUCGUAGUGCCUGGAAUACGAAAUGCGGAGCAGAGAGAGAGACACACACACCGAGAGAGAUGGGACUGGGCAGCGGAGGUGCUGGAAGCUUGCUCGGGUGCCAUUCAUCCUAUUUAUUCCUCCAUCUCCCUCCCUGGAAGUAGCAAGGCCAGUGCAAUUAACCAGGCGCAGCAAGACGAAGAGGGAGAGCAGGGGCGUUAAUCCUGCUGGAGGGUCCGGGGGGCAGAAGCGAGGAUUUCUGCCAGGUUUAAUUCAAUCAGAAUUUUAAUGCGAAACUGCGAGGUGUUUUGUUGGGGGGGGGGGGGGGGAGAGAUUAUAUGUGAGGAGGAGGGGCAGAGAAGGGAGAGAAACAGAUCUUCCAAACGCCGGUGGCUGGUUGAGUUGCAGCAGCAGGUGCCAGGAGAUGCGGGGAGGAGUUGCUGUUUCCAAAGCUCGCUGGAAAAAAAAAAGUGAACUAAACAUGGGGAAACCAUGAUGGGGGAGGAGAGGGGUCUUUCCCAUGCGUUACAAACACUGUAAAUGGCUAAAUGGCCCAGGUGCCUCCAUGAAAUGUAAUCUAAUAGAAAAGAAACAACAAAAAUCUCCUCUGAUCCUGGCGCUUUUCGUCUGCCCAUUACAAAGAAGGUGAAGAUAAUUUUUAAAAAAUGGUUUUUAAUCCCCCUUCGACACAUGCUCCGCUAACCCUGUUGUCUGCAUAACUUGCUAGGCAGAUCCUGCUGUCAUCUCUCCAAGGCUAAAAUACCAAAGCCUGUGCAUGCAUGACAUUUCCCCAGCAGAUCUGUUUAUUGGUCGCGCAUAGAACCACCAUUAUAAAAUAAUCAUUACUUAACCUCUGGCCGUAAUGGUGUCUAUUUCUGCAUCUGUCAUGGACAUUUUUUAAAAAUCGAAGUAACCACAUUUGAAGACUGCAUUAAGCUUUUCUACAGGGUAGCUUUUGAAAAUACACUAACCUGACCUACUAAUACAUAGUGCAAUUUGAUCCAAGUGUGUAAGUGUAUUAUUGUAGUUUGCUCCUGUACACCUCCUAUAUUCCACCAGAGAGGUGGCUUCUUCUCAGUGGUAGGCUGAUGACCUCUCUGACAUACAGAAGUAAGUUAUCACAGUAAAUACAGAAGUCUUUGUAUGUUAGGAAAUACUACACACCUGGCCCCUUAGGAAACUGGCUAAUGGCCAGAUAUUUAACACCUGGGAACUAGAGGAUUAGCAAGGAUUGCUGUGACAAGGAAGGAGGAAGUUCUUCUAGCUGGUGGAAAAUGGGUCAGGUUGUGAAGUGCUCUCCCUGACACACACAUCCCCAGAUUAUGGUGGUGACAUUGGCUUCCCCGCUUUGUUACCAGUUAUUGACUGCUCACGGGAGUUUAAAAACCCACAGAGGGGACAGCUGGUGCUGCAAAAAUGUAAUUAUUAGAUAACCCCACACUUGAACUAGGAUUAGAACCUUGAUAGUAGCUCAAUUGCUAGAGGCCUCUGGGUUGGAGAUGAAGGAGAGAGCUCCCUUUAACGUGAGUUAUACAUACAUAGGAAUCCCUGUACUCAUCAGGAUAAAGCAGCACUUGUGGAAUAGAACAGAGAUGGUUGUGUACCAGUGCACAGCCACUCCUCCAUACCUGAUUUUUCAGAGAUACCAGUGGAAACUGUAGGUCACCAACACCUUUGGAAACUGGGGUAAGAGGAUUCCCAAUGAAGGUCCCUGAACACUGGAAUUUGCUGAGCAGACUGGCCUGGUCUUUUCAAGCAGCAGUUCCCACACCUACAAAGAAUCCUCUUUUUAAAAGGUUAGGAUCAGGAUAGAUCUUAAUAGGCACUAAACCCUAAUUAAAGUUGGUUUUUAAAAAAUAAUUUCCUUAGCCUGUUCACACUCCCUUUGCAUUUCUUUAUAUGAAUAUUCCAGCAUGCAGUUCGUUGUGAAUACUUGUGAAAUGUUAAUUUUAGGUUUCUGCUGGUCAAAUAUUCAUAUUACAUAACUAACUAAACAGUGCAUAGGGAACUCUACGUUGUAAUUUCAUACUUGAUAUCCAGUUUGAAAUCCUUCCUGCUGUUUAGUUGCAUACGGUCACAAUCCUGCAAAGACUUAUGCACAUGCUAAAAUUCACCCUGUGUAAACCAACUGACUUCAAAUGGUGUGAUUUAAGUAAUCCAUUAAUAGAGUAAAUGGAAAAUUUUUAAUA